GAGUGCAGGGUUUGUGUUGUAUACCAGUCAAUCAAUUGUUUGCAGAUCAAUAUCAAUCAUUAAAAUCAUGGUAGAAGUGUUUUCUGCAGUGCGCGUUUUGAAUCUGUGCAAAUGAAUAAUUCUUAGAUGUAUUUUGUACCUUUUAAAAGAUUUAAAGUAGUUUCUUAUGAAUUUAAAACCCAAGAAUUAAUUUUUCACUUAGGAUAAUAGUAUGAAUUUAUUAUAAGAUUGUGAUUAUUUUUAAGCAACCUGCAAUGCCCUUCUGCUAUGAUAUUGUCAUCAAGUUUUUCAAGUGAUUUCUAAAUCAAAAUUGUGAAUUGCAGCUUCUAAUUACCUGCAGUGAUGUCAAUCUUCCCAGAUGCUGCAAAGAUGGAUGUUAUUUUCGAACAAUGGAUAUCAUUUGAAAGUUAUUUGAGAAUAAAAAUUCUGGUUUUUGCUGUCACUUAAAAAUGAAAAGGUGACUGCUGACAGAGAAAAUGCAUCUUCCCUUCCUUUGCUGGAAGCAUGCUUCGGAAAGUUCUUGACAUUAAUGCUGAUUUCUUGCAGUUCUUCUGAUUCAUGAACCUGAUAUUAAAGAUGUGAAACAUUAUUUUCAUCCCAGCGGAUGCUAGGUAGCAUCAUUCUUUGGAUAAAAAGAAGGCAGAUUCCGCACUAGUAGUAGUUUCUUUUCUGCACAUCAUGACUACGUUGCAAGAAAAAGCACUACUUGUAACAUUGCUCUACCGGAACCAGUAGAAUGUAACAGAUUUUCUUCGUUUAAAGAAGAUAAGAAGCUCAAUUUCUCCAUGUACAGAAGAUGAUACAGAAAUUUGAAAAAAACGUGGCAUUCUUCCAGGUAGAGGACGAAAGUGAUAAUGGCCCAUCUAAUAGUGUCGAAAAUGUUCUGCUGCGGUCAUUAAAGACAUCAGUCAAUCUCCGCAUGGUAGUGAUGGCUAUUCAGAAGUCCGUGAAACUUUUGCACUUCACUUCCUUACUAAAAUAGUGAUUGAUAUCACAUUUGGAGUGACAAAGCCCACUUUUGCUUCAAUGGCUGGACCAUUAGAACACAUUCUAGAGCUCUCUGAAGUGGGAAACUUAUUUCUUGCUGACGCUAUGUGUGUGUAUACUGACAGAAAUGUUGGGCGAUGAAAUGUUUUUAAGAAUGCCUUGAAAUCCAAACCGUGUGGCCAAAAGAAAUCAAAAAUUCUUCCUGCUUUGUCUGUUAUACGAAAGGCACAGAAUUACAGGACAGCUGUGCCAAUCUACUCCAUCUGUCGAAUUUGAAAUCCAAAUUUUUAGUUUCUGAAUUCGUCACUUUUCAUAAGUGGUAUCAGUUUACCUUCUUUUGUAAUGGCUUUAAAUAAAAAAGCAUUUACUUGUAAAA